GAUGAACGCUAGCGGCAGGCCUAACACAUGCAAGUCGAGGGGUAGAGUUCUUCGGGACUUGAGGCCGGCGCACGGGUGCGUAACGCGUAUGCAAUCUACCUUAUACAGGGGGAAUAGCCCCAGAGAAAUUUGGAUUAAUGCCCCAUAGUGUUAUCGAAUCGCAUGGUUUGAUAACUAAAGUUCCAACGGUAUAAGAUGAGCAUGCGUCCCAUUAGUUAGUUGGUAAGGUAACGGCUUACCAAGACAAUGAUGGGUAGGGGUCCUGAGAGGGAGAUCCCCCACACUGGUACUGAGACACGGACCAGACUCCUACGGGAGGCAGCAGUGAGGAAUAUUGGACAAUGGGCGGCAAGCCUGAUCCAGCCACUGCCGCGUGCAGGAUGACGGUCCUAUGGAUUGUAAACUGCUUUGUACAGGAAGAAACACUCCGACGUGUCGGAGCUUGACGGUACUGUAAGAAUAAGGAUCCGGGUCUAAACUCCCGUGGCCAGCAGCCGAC
rnacentral:rRNA from 1 species